AGGGAAUCUUCCGCAAUGGACGAAAGUCUGACGGAGCAACGCCGCGAGAGUGAAGAAGGCCUUCGGGUCGUAAAACUCUGUUGCCGGGGAAGAACAAGUGCCGUUCGAACAGGGCGGCGCCUUGACGGUACCCGGCCAGAAAGCCCCGGCUAACUACGUGCCAGCAGCCGCGGUAAUACGUAGGGGGCGAGCGUUGUCCGGAAUUAUUGGGCGUAAAGCGCGCGCAGGCGGUUUCUUAAGUCUGAUGUGAAAUCUUGCGGCCCAACCGCAAGCGGUCAUUGGAAACUGGGAGGCUUGAGUGCAGAAGAGGAGAGUGGAAUUCCACGUGUAGCGGUGAAAUGCGUAGAGAUGUGGAGGAACACCAGUGGCGAAGGCGGCUCUCUGGUCUGUAACUGACGCUGAGGCGCGAAAGCGUGGGGAGCAAAC
rnacentral:rRNA from 1 species